AAAAUUUCCCUUUUUUGAGUUUAUAUUUCAUUGAUCAUCCUCUAUCUGACCAAAUUUACAGAGUUCUGAGUAUCUUCAAAGAGAUCAAACAAAUUACCAUGUUCCCGCAAUGUCUUUUGAAUUUAUCCUUCAUUGAUCACUAUUUAUUUGUAUGACCUAAGUAACAAGAUAGACCAUAUGGUAUCUUUUAAGUCAAUAAUAACUGCAGUCUUUCUGUUAUAACAUUGCUCUUUAGUUUAGUCCAUUUUAUUAUUUUGAUGUUAAUUUAGUUGUAUGACCUAAGUAACAAGAUAGACCAUAUGGUAUCUUUUAAGUCAAUAAUAACUGCAGUCUUUCUGUUAUAACAU
rnacentral:lncRNA from 1 species